rnacentral:rRNA from 1 species
UACGUAGGGUGCGAGCGUUGUCCGGAAUUAUUGGGCGUAAAGAGCUUGUAGGCGGUUUGUCGCGUCUGCUGUGAAAAUCCGGGGCUCAACCCCGGGCUUGCAGUGGGUACGGGCAGACUAGAGUGUGGUAGGGGAGACUGGAAUUCCUGGUGUAGCGGUGAAAUGCGCAGAUAUCAGGAGGAACACCGAUGGCGAAGGCAGCUCGCUGGGACGGUACUGACGCUGAGGCGCGAAAGCGUGGGGAGCAAACAGG